UGGGGAAUUUUGGACAAUGGGCGCAAGCCUGAUCCAGCAAUGCCGCGUGCAGGAUGAAGGCCUUCGGGUUGUAAACUGCUUUUGUACGGAACGAAAAGCCUCUCUCUAAUACAGGGGGUGAUGACGGUACCGUAAGAAUAAGCACCGGCUAACUACGUGCCAGCAGCCGCGGUAAUACGUAGGGUGCAAGCGUUAAUCGGAAUUACUGGGCGUAAAGCGUGCGCAGGCGGUUUUGUAAGACAGUGGUGAAAUCCCGGGCUCAACCUGGGAACUGCCAUUGUGACUGCAAGGCUGGAGUGCGGCAGAGGGGGAUGGAAUUCCGCGUGUAGCAGUGAAAUGCGUAGAUAUGCGGAGGAACACCGAUGGCGAAGGCAAUCCCCUGGGCCUGCACUGACGCUCAUGCACGAAAGCGUGGGGAGCAAACAGGAUUAGAUACCCUGGUAGUCCACGCCCUAAAACGAUGUCAACUGGUUGUUGGGGAUUUAUUUCUUCAGUAACGAAGCUAACGCGU
rnacentral:rRNA from 1 species